GUGAAUCAUCGAAUCUUUGAACGCAAAUUGCACUCCUUGGUAUUCCGGAGAGUAUGCCUGUUUGAGGGUCAGGUUAAAUAAAAACCGGUGUGGUUGCUGCCUUUCGUGGUGACGCACCGGAUUUGGGUCGUUUUGCCUUCGGUUACGUGACCUCUUAUUUUGCAUGACUUUUUCCGAACGUAUUUAAAUGAUUUUAUGGACGUUUGCGAUAUCUAAUACUAGGUUUGGUCAACC
rnacentral:misc_RNA from 1 species